CUGCAAACCACAGAGCUUCCUGAAUAGCAAAUAAUUGCUCAUCCGGAAAGUUUUCAGAGAUCUCAGUAAGAGGGAGGAACGCCCCUUCUACUGGUUCUAUCCGAGACAGGUGAUCUGCUACUUGGUUUUCUGUCCCUUUUCUGUCUCUUAUCUUUAUAUCAAACUCUUGCAGGAGCAACACCCACCUUAUGAGCCUGGGUUU